rnacentral:snRNA from 1 species
GUAGAAUCCUUUGCAGAC